rnacentral:rRNA from 1 species
GACGAACGCUGGCGGCGUGCUUAACACAUGCAAGUCGAACGAUGAAGCCCUGCUUGCAGGGUGGAUUAGUGGCGAACGGGUGAGUAACACGUGGGUGAUCUGCCCCGCACUUCGGGAUAAGCCUGGGAAACUGGGUCUAAUACCGGAUCGGACCCCCCGUCAGUGUGGGGGGUGGAAAGAUUUAUCGGUGUGGGAUGAGCUCGCGGCCUAUCAGCUUGUUGGUGGGGUAAUGGCCUACCAAGGCGUCGACGGGUAGCCGGCCUGAGAGGGGGGACGGCCACAUUGGGGCCGCGAGACGGCCCAAACCCCUGCGGGAGGCAUUGGUGGGGAAUCUUGCACAAUGGGCCAAAGCCUGAUGCAGCGCCGCCGGGUGAGGGAUGACGGCCUUCGGGUUGUAUACCUCUUUCGCUCUCGACGAAGCCCCUUCGGGGGUGACGGUAGUGGGAUAAGAAGCACCGGCUAACUACGUGCCAGCCGCCGCCGUAACAC